UACCAGCACCCCGAGUGGUCGGGACGAUUAUUGGGCCUAAAGCAUCCGUAGCCGGUUUUACAAGUCCUCCGUUAAAUCCAGCUGCUUAACAGAUGGGCUGCGGAGGAUACUAUAAGACUAGGAGGCAAGAGAGGCAAGCGGUACUCAGUGGGUAGGGGUAAAAUCCGUUGAUCCAUUGAAGACCACCAGUGGCGAAGGCGGCUUGCCAGAAUGCGCUCGACGGUGAGGGAUGAAAGCUGGGGGAGCAAACCGG
rnacentral:rRNA from 1 species